CCUANGGGUGGCAGCAAUUAGGAAUCUUGCGCAAUGGGCGAAAGCCUGACGCAGCGACGUCGCGUGACCGAUGAAGUCUUUCGGGAUGUAAAGGUCUUUUUUGGGGGAAGAAGGAUGUGACGGUACCCCAAGAAUAAGCCCCGGCUAACUACGUGCCAGCAGCCGCGGUAAUACGUAGGGGGCGAGCGUUGUCCGAAUUCACUGGGCGGAAAGCGCGCGUAGGCGGGUUAUUAAGUUGGAGGUGAAAUCCCGGGGCUCAACCCCGGAACUGCCCCCAAAACUGGUAGUCUUGAGGUAUGGAGAGGGAAGCGGAAUUUCUGGUGUAGCGGUGAAAUGCGUAGAUAUCAGAAGGAACAUCAGUGGCGAAGGCGGCUUCCUGGUCCAGUACCGACGUUCAGGCACGAAAGCGUGGGGAGCAAACAGGAUUAGAUACCCUUNUANUC
rnacentral:rRNA from 1 species